rnacentral:rRNA from 1 species
GACAGAGGGUGCAAACGUUGUUCGGAAUUACUGGGCGUAAAGCGCGUGUAGGCGGCCCUGCAAGUCGGGUGUGAAAUCCCACGGCUCAACCGUGGAAGUGCACUCGAAACUGCAGGGCUAGAGUCCUGGAGAGGAAGGUGGAAUGCUUGGUGUAGAGGUGAAAUUCGUAGAUAUCAAGCGGAAACACCGGUGGCGAAGGCGGCCUCUGGACAAUGACUGACGCUGAGACGCGAAGCGUGGGGAGCAAAC